rnacentral:lncRNA from 1 species
CUGCCCCUCAAACCUGGCCCGGCAACUGUGGCGGUGCCAUGAAGAUUGACAUAUAGCAAGCCAAUUAAGUUGAAGUAGAGCGGGGAAUUGACAACCUCUGAUAGACGGAAUAGGGAGAUUGCACAAGGAGAUUUGGACAACAAGGACUCAUGAAGGACAGCACAUGUCAAGGCUGGGGAGAAGAAGAGGAGCCAAGAAGGAGCAGCCAGGGAGUAUACAUUUGUGAUCCAGAAAUACAUUCAGCAUGAGGAACUGCUACCGAAGUAAGACAGCAAAUCAACAAUCUAAGUUUCUUCAUCAAGAAAUUAGAAAACAAAGACCAAAAUCAAACCAAAACAAGCCUGAGGAAGGAACUAAUGAAGGUAAGAGGAGAAAUCAAUGUGAUUGAAAACUAGAAAACGAGAGAAUCAAUGAAACAAAAACCUCUUGAAGAUUGACUGUUAGGAAGAAUUUAGCAUGCAAUUUGUUUAUCAAGGAGUGUCUUUGGGUCAACAUGGAUAGAAGGGAUGGGAAGUCUUUUUUUAUUUUUGUUUUUUUUCUGUUAACACUGAUCAAUCCUCCAAUACUGACACCAGCCACCUGGAGUUCACAUAGAUUCUACAAGUGCAAGGACUGUAUGUCACUAAAAGGAAAUACUUCAGAUGCCAGCCUCAAGAGGGUGCUCAGGUAGCCAUACUUCUGCCCUGAACACCCAAUGUAUUCCCCACAACCUGCUCACAGGCUGGAUAUUUCCAGAUGACUUACAGUGCUCAGAAGAACAUUUUCCUUACUUACAUUUAUGAGUUUAUUUUAAAGAGUAGACCCCCAAAUAGAAGACCCAAUCAGGAAAUGGAAAAGUGGGACACUUCAAAGAAGCAGUACAAAUGGCCCAUAAAUCCAUGAAGAAAUGCUCAACAUCCCUGGUGAUAUUAGAGAAAUGCAGAUUAAAACAACACUGAGAUUCCAUCUUACUCCAGAGAGAAGGACUAUCUUCAAGAAAUCAAGGAAUGGCAAAUGCUGGUGAGGCUGUGAGCGAAAAUGAACCCCUCUACGUUGUUGGUGGGAAUGUGAACUGGUAUAACCACUCUGGAAGUCAGUAUGGAGAUUCCUCAAAAAGCAAACUAGAAAUUCUAUCUGACCCAGCUAUUCCCCUUCUAGUUAUCUUC